rnacentral:rRNA from 1 species
AUUGAACGCUGGCGGCAGGCCUAACACAUGCAAGUCGGACGGUAGCACAGAGAGCUUGCUCUUGGGUGACGAGUGGCGGACGGGUGAGUAAUGUCUGGGGAUCUGCCCGAUAGAGGGGGAUAACCACUGGAAACGGUGGCUAAUACCGCAUAACGUCGCAAGACCAAAGAGGGGGACCUUCGGGCCUCUCACUAUCGGAUGAACCCAGAUGGGAUUAGCUAGUAGGCGGGGUAAUGGCCCACCUAGGCGACGAUCCCUAGCGGGUCUGAGAGGAUGACCAGCCACACUGGAACUGAGACACGGUCCAGACUCCUACGGGAGGCAGCAGUGGGGAAUAUUGCACAAUGGGCGCAAGCCUGAUGCAGCCAUGCCGCGUGUAUGAAGAAGGCCCUCGGGUUGUAAAGUACUUUCAGCGGGGAGGAAGGCGGUGAAGUUAAUAACUUCACCGAUUGACGUUACCCGCAGAAGAAGCACCGGCUAACUCCGUGCCAGCCGCCGCUGUAAAAC